AUGGCGGAACGGGCCAAUCUGGUCUUUCAUAAUAAAGAGAUAGACGGAACUGGUAUGAAACGACUUAUUAGCAGAUUAAUAGAUCAUUUUGGAAUGGGAUAUACAUCCCAUAUACUGGAUCAACUAAAGACUCUGGGCUUCCAUCAAGCCACUACUACAUCGAUUUCGUUAGGAAUCGAGGAUCUUUUAACAAUACCCUCUAAGGGAUGGUUAGUCCAAGACGCGGAACAACGGAGUUUUCUUUUGGAGAAACACUAUUAUUAUGGGGCUGUACACGCAGUAGAAAAAUUACGCCAAUCUGUUGAGAUAUGGUAUGCGACAAGUGAAUAUUUGAAACAAGAAAUGAAUUCAAAUUUUUGGAUAACGGAUCCUUCUAAUCCAGUCUAUCUAAUGUCUUUUUCAGGAGCCAGAGGAAAUGCAUCUCAAGUACACCGAUUAGUAGGUAUGAGAGGAUUAAUGUCGGACCCUCAAGGACAAAUGAUUGAUUUACCUAUUCAAAGCAAUUUACGCGAGGGACUUUCUUUGACAGAAUAUAUAAUUUCCUGCUAUGGAGCCCGCAAAGGGGUUGUAGAUACUGCUGUGCGAACAGCAGAUGCUGGAUAUCUUACACGUAGACUUGUUGAAGUAGUUCAACAUAUUAUUGUGCAUAGAAGAGAUUGUGGUACUAUCCGAGGUAUUUCUGUAAGUCCUCAAAAUGGGAUGACGGAAAAACUUUUUGUCCAAACACUAAUUGGUCGUGUAUUAGCAGACGAUAUAUAUAUCGGUUCACGAUGCAUUGCCGCGCGAAAUCAAGAUAUUGGAAUUGGAUUAGUCAAUCGAUUCAUAACUGCCUUUCGAGCACAACCAUUUAGAGCACAACCAAUAUAUAUUAGAACCCCCUUUACUUGCCGAAGCACUUCUUGGAUCUGUCAAUUAUGCUAUGGCCGGAGUCCUACUCAUAGUGAUCUGGUCAAAUUGGGAGAAGCCGUAGGUAUUAUUGCAGGUCAAUCAACUGGGGAGCCAGGGACUCAACUAACAUUAAGAACUUUUCAUACUGGUGGAGUAUUCACAGGGGGUACUGCCGACCUUGUACGAUCCCCUUCGAAUGGAAAAAUAAAAUUCAAUGAGAAUUAG
rnacentral:rRNA from 1 species